CAUAUGCAUUUAAUAAUCCUGCUUCGGUGUCAACUGAAGCUGGUAAACUCAAACAACGUUUAGAGAAUCUAUGUCAGCGAAUAAUGGGUAUGCAACCUGAACAAUGGUUGAUAUGUCCGUGGAAUUCAGAGUAAGUAUGUUUUUAUAUUAAUAAAUGUAACAAACUAAUGGAUCGAUUAGUGAGUUGACUGAAUUAACAUGUUUUGUUCUGUAGUGAUCACUGGUUGACAAUUAUGAUUCAUGCCAAUACUCAAAGUGUUGCAUAUCUUAACUCGACGAAUGACUUUAUCCGAUCUGAUAUUAUGAAAUGUAUCCAAAAUGUUGUGGACAUGUACAGGAUCGAAAAAAAUAUACGAAACAAGGGUCCAGUAAAAAUCAACCAAUACACGUGUCGACAGCAGCCGGAUGGAGUACAAUGUGGUUAUUAUGUUAUGAAGAUUAUCCAGAGUUUCAUGACAAUUGUUAAUCCUACAAGUUUUUUAAAAAAUCAUGUAAACAUGAAUAACUACUCUUCUUUAUUUAGUUUGUAUUUUAAUUAUAUAUACUUUUAAUAUAAUGAUUAAUGUUUUUUUUUAUCUUUUGUUUUACAGUUCAAGUUAGAUGCUCCCUAUAGUAACGAGGAGAUCAAUGCCGUACGGGAUGAGUGGGCCGAAUUUGUGAAGCCUUUGAUUAUAGAUUAAGUACUUAAGGUUACUACACUUUUGUUAUAAUACAUGAGUAACAAGUUUUAUGAUUAUUGUUAUCUUUUGCAUAUAUUAUUAGUUUAUAUUUAGUUUACGAUAUACAUGGAAUUUAAGUUUUAGAAUCGAUUUUAUUAACAAUUUUGGUAUUGUGUGAUUAGUUAAUAGAAUCGAUUACUAAUUUUAUAUAAGUUUUCGAAAUGUUAUUUUAA